rnacentral:rRNA from 1 species
GGGCUCACACAAGCGGUGGAGGAUGUGGCUUAAUUCGAGGCUACGCGAAGAACCUUAUCCUAGGCUUGACAUGCUGGAUACUACUCCUGAAAGGGAUGUUAGUUGCCUCCGGGUGAAACAAGCACAGGUGCUGCAUGGCUGUCGUCAGCUCGUGUCGUGAGAUGUCAGGUUAAGUCCUUUAACGAGCGAAACCCUUGUCACUAGUUGCCAGCGAGUAAUGUCGGGGACUCUAGUGAGACUGCCUUCUGUUAAAGAGGAGGAAGGUGGGGAUGACGUCAAGUCCUCAUGGCCUUUAUGCCUAGGGCUGCACACGUCCUACAAUGGUACACACAAAGGGAUGCAAAAUCGCGAGAUCAAGCAAAUCCCAAAAAUGUAGCCCCAGUUCGGAUUGUAGUCUGCAACUCGACUACAUGAAGUCGGAAUCGCUAGUAAUCGCGGGUCAGCAUACCG